CUUCUUCCUCACCAAACCCUAGUCGCCGCCCACAACUUCUUCUCCAUCACUAUUGCUCUGGUUUGCUUCUCACUAUCGUCCGUCAUCAUUUCGACGAAGUCCCGUGAGUUCUCUCGCUUCCAUCAAACGUGUGUUUCGCAAGCCAAUCUUGUCGGUUAAUCUGACAUCCGUUUGAUUCAAUGUUUAUAAGCAAGUUACCUAAAUAUAUUAAUUAGUGCAAGAUUAAUUGAAUUACUUGUGCAACAUUAACUGAAUUACUUGUAUCUGCACGAAAAUUCGUUCUUAGUCAAUUCUUGGAAAGUAAUUACAUUCUUUUCUAGUGCAUAUAUUAAUUUCUG
rnacentral:lncRNA from 1 species